GAUGAACGCUGGCGGCGUGCCUAAUACAUGCAAGUCGAGCGAACAGACGAGGAGCUUGCUCCUCUGACGUUAGCGGCGGACGGGUGAGUAACACGUGGAUAACCUACCUAUAAGACUGGGAUAACUUCGGGAAACCGGAGCUAAUACCGGAUAAUAUAUUGAACCGCAUGGUUCAAUAGUGAAAGACGGUUUUGCUGUCACUUAUAGAUGGAUCCGCGCCGCAUUAGCUAGUUGGUAAGGCAACGGCUUACCAAGGCGACGAUGCGUAGCCGACCUGAGAGGGUGAUCGGCCACACUGGAACUGAGACACGGUCCAGACUCCUACGGGAGGCAGCAGUAGGGAAUCUUCCGCAAUGGGCGAAAGCUUGACGGAGCAACGCCGCGUGAGUGAUGAAGGUCUUCGGAUCGUAAAACUCUGUUAUUAGGGAAGAACAAAUGUGUAAGUAACUAUGCACGUCUUGACGGUACCUAAUCAGAAAGCCACGGCUAACUACGUG
rnacentral:rRNA from 1 species